UACGGGGGGGCAAGCGUUGUUCGGAAUUACUGGGCGUAAAGGGCGUGUAGGCGGCCAACUAAGUCCGACGUGAAAUCCCCAGGCUCAACCUGGGAACUGCGUCGGAUACUGGAUGGCUUGAAUCCGGGAGAGGGAUGCAGAAUUCCAGGUGUAGCGGUGAAAUGCGUAGAUAUCUGGAGGAAUACCGGUGGCGAAGGCGGCAUCCUGGACCGGCAUUGACGCUGAAGCGCGAAAGCUAGGGGAGCAAACGGG
rnacentral:rRNA from 1 species